GAGCUUGCUCCUUUGACGUUAGCGGCGGACGGGUGAGUAACACGUGGAUAACCUACCUAUAAGACUGGGAUAACUUCGGGAAACCGGAGCUAAUACCGGAUAACAUAUUGAACCGCAUGGUUCAAUAGUGAAAGGCGGCUUUGCUGUCACUUAUAGAUGGAUCCGCGCCGUAUUAGCUAGUUGGUAAGGUAACGGCUUACCAAGGCAACGAUACGUAGCCGACCUGAGAGGGUGAUCGGCCACACUGGAACUGAGACACGGUCCAGACUCCUACGGGAGGCAGCAGUAGGGAAUCUUCCGCAAUGGGCGAAAGCCUGACGGAGCAACGCCGCGUGAGUGAUGAAGGUCUUCGGAUCGUAAAACUCUGUUAUCAGGGAAGAACAAAUGUGUAAGUAACUGUGCACAUCUUGACGGUACCUGAUCAGAAAGCCACGGCUAACUACGUGCCAGCAGCCGCGGUAAUACGUAGGUGGCAAGCGUUAUCCGGAAUUAUUGGGCGUAAAGCGCGCGUAGGCGGUUUUUUAAGUCUGAUGUGAAAGCCCACGGCUCAACCGUGGAGGGUCAUUGGAAACUGGAAAACUUGAGUGCAGAAGAGGAAAGUGGAAUUCCAUGGGUAAGCGG
rnacentral:rRNA from 1 species